CCUACGGGCGGCAGCAGUGAGGAAUAUUGGUCAAUGGACGAGAGUCUGAACCAGCCAAGUAGCGUGAAGGAUGACUGCCCUAUGGGUUGUAAACUUCUUUUAUAUGGGAAUAAAAUGUUCCACGUGUGGGAUUUUGUAUGUACCAUAUGAAUAAGGAUCGGCUAACUCCGUGCCAGCAGCCGCGGUAAUACGGAGGAUCCGAGCGUUAUCCGGAUUUAUUGGGUUUAAAGGGAGCGUAGGUGGAUUGUUAAGUCAGUUGUGAAAGUUUGCGGCUCAACCGUAAAAUUGCAGUUGAAACUGGCAGUCUUGAGUACAGUAGAGGUGGGCGGAAGUCGUGGUGUAGCGGUGAAAUGCUUAGAUAUCACGAAGAACUCCGAUCGCGAAGGCAGUUCACUGGACUGCAACUGACACUGAGGCUCGAAAGUGUGGGUAUCAAACAGGAUUAGAUACCCUUGUAGUC
rnacentral:rRNA from 1 species